rnacentral:pre_miRNA from 1 species
AAACUACUCCCUCUGUCCGGAAAUACUUGUCAUCAAAAUGAAUAAAAGGGGAUGUAUCUAGAUGUAUUUUAGUUCUAGAUACAUCCCUUUUUGUCCAUUUUGAUGACAAGUAUUUACGGACGGAGGGAGUACACC